AUUGAACGCUGGCGGCAGGCCUAACACAUGCAAGUCGAGCGGAUGACGGGAGCUUGCUCCUUGAUUCAGCGGCGGACGGGUGAGUAAUGCCUAGGAAUCUGCCUGGGAGUGGGGGACAACGUUUCAAAAGCAAGGCUAAUACCGCAUACGUCCUACGGGAGAAAGCAGGGGACCUUCGGGCCGUGCGCUAUCAGAUGGGCCUAGGUCGGAUUAGCUAGUUGGUGGGGUAAUGGCUCACCAAGGCGACGAUCCGUAACUGGUCUGAGAGGAUGAUCAGUCAGACUGGAACUGAGACACGGUCCAGACUCCUACGGGAGGCAGCAGUGGGGAAUAUUGGACAAUGGGCGAAAGCCUGAUCCAGCCAUGCCGCGUGUGUGAAGAAGGUCUUCGGAUUGUAAAGCACUUUAAGUUGGGAGGAAGGGCAGUAAGUUAAUACCUUGCUGUUUUGACGUUACCGACAGAAUAAGCACCGGCUAACUCUGUGCCAGCCGCCGCCGUAAGAC
rnacentral:rRNA from 1 species